rnacentral:lncRNA from 1 species
GUAACCCAAAAUCAUCAAAUACAAAUAUUUGUUUGUGCACGUUGUUCUUGUCUCUUUCGUUUCAGGAAAUUUUCGUGUUCACAAUAAGAGACAGGCAUUCUAGCUAGUUUAUGGGCGACUUUAUUUAGUCUAUGAAUUGUAUAAUAUAAACGGAUUUUUAAUGUCAUUUUUCAUAAGAUUUGAUGUCCACUAAAAUAAAAAUAUAUCUACCUUUAUAUUAAAGGAAAAUUAAUGAAAAAAAAACUUGAAAACUUUGAGUUUUAACGAUAAGGACCAAAUAAUAGAUAAAGUGAAUAGUACCAGGACUAUUUUUUAGCGUAAAAAUGUGGUUUUUCGUUAAAGUGAACAGUACCGAGAGUCUUUCAUUAAAGUUCCAUUCUAUUAAUCCUUCUAAAACAAUAUUAUAUAGGGGUUUUUUUAACUUUAAUCCUUCAAGAAGAUUGAAAUUAAAAUAAACCUGGUGUUAGAUUAUAUAUUGAUUAUAGUCUCUUGAUGUGUCCUUAAUUCAAAAUAAUUAAUGUGCAUUUUAUUUAAUAUCUCUCAUUAAAUGUUUAAAUUUAUUAAUAUAAAAAUUUUAAUUUAUUUUUUGAACAAUAAAAGUUUU